rnacentral:hammerhead_ribozyme from 1 species
AUCCAACUGACGAAUCCCAAAUAGGACGAAAUUUACAUUUUAGAU